rnacentral:rRNA from 1 species
GACAGAGGUGCCGAGCGUUAGGCGGAAUCACUGGGCUUAAAGCGUGUGUAGGCGGCGGCGUAAGUACCUUGUGAAAUCCCACGGCUCAACCGUGGAACUGCUCGGUAUACUGCGUCGCUUGAGCCAGCUAGGGGCGACCGGAACAAAUGGUGGAGCGGUGAAAUGCGUAGAUAUCAUUUGGAACGCCAACGGCGAAAGCAGGCAGCUGGGGAUGCACCGACGCUGAGACACGGAAGCCAGGGGAGCGAACGGG